ACUUUUGUAGUGUAUUUAACACAUUACAUUUUCAUUGUAAAGCUAAAGAAAUUCUUUCUAAAGUA
rnacentral:tRNA from 1 species